GUCAGAGCUACUCUAGUCGCACCCACUCAGUCGUGAACUGGAGCAGCAGCCAGAGAGAGAGUAAGACAAUGGUGAAUGAGAAGAGGCCAGGUGACAGGAACCUGCAAGCUCAUCCAUCCACAAACAUCCACUGAGCACCUGCCACGGGCUGGGCCCCGUGCAUUCAACAACAAUCUUCAAUGUGUCUUCAUUUGUUUGCAACCGCUGAACACAGCUAUCUGAUAUCACUGUGGCCUGGGACUCUCAGCUUCCAGCAAGUGGGAGCCCCACCUGGCUCAUCCACUUCAAAAGAGGAUUGCAUGCUAAUGAAUUAAUACAUACAAGAAAGUGUUGCAAACUCUACAAUCCUAUAUAAAUCUUAAGAAGAUUAGAAGUUUACCAAAUGCUCUGUAAUGCAUUUUGAAGGGCUAUCCCUUAAAAGAAACUGGAAAUCAGCAAGACAAGCUUUUCCUUCUUUUAGUGUCUUUAUUUAGCCUGUACGUACUACUUGCACACAUUAGUUUCACAGUUAAUUUUACCGCCUUAAAAACAGGACUCAGAUCAAAACCUAAACAUGAGAACUCAGCCACUGACAGUGAUUUUCCUGGUGGCUCCCGGAAGUCAUUGCUCUCAGAGCUUCCAUUUCCCCCUCCCAUUAAGCAAAGGAAAUAGGAGGGGAAGACAGCAAUUCCACAAGGUCUUUGUGCACUUUGAAACUUUCGUAGCUUCAGUUGUUGGUGUGACAAAAGCAAUCUGUGGGCAGAAUCCAGAAGCAAGUAUAUGAACAUUUGGGGAAGGGUGUUGCUUAGUGGGUCACGUUGUCUCCUGCCAAAUUCUGUGACAACCCUAAAGUGCGAGAAGGGUUCCGAGGGGAGCCGAAUGCUGCAGUCAAGCUUCAUAUCCGCCAAGACAAAGGGAUUUAAUCUGCUUGGGGACGCUUCUGCUUGCUGAUUUUAUAUACUAACUAAGUCAUCUGAGUCUAAAGGAUAAAAGUUGAAAGCUGCCUAAGAACUUUAUCCAGGGCCUCUACUUUCCCAGACCAAGUUGAUACUGGAAAGAGAGUCUGGUGUUUCAACCAGAGUUCAGGACCCACGAAUGUGCAGCUUCUAUACUAUAGUGAACAUUUCAACGACUCCCACAGCCAGGGUUCCCAUGUCUUCAGGUCCUGCUGAGAAACAACUAACAAUCCUGCCAGCACCACCCUCAACACACAGAAAAAAAGAGGCAAAGAAAACCUCUUGCCGGGCGUGGUGGCUCACGCCUGUAAUCCCAGCACUUUGGGAGGCUGAGGCAGGCGGAUCACAAGGUCAGGAGAUCGAGACCAUCCUGGCUAACACGGUGAAACCCCUCUCUACUAAAAAUACAAAGAAUUAGCCGGGUGUGGUGGCGCACGCCUGUAGUCCCAGCUACUCGGGAGGCUGAGGCAGGAGAAUGGCGGGAACCCGGGAGGCAGAGCUUGCAGUGAGCCAAGAUCGUGCCACUGCACUCCAGCCUGGGUGACAGAGCGAGACUCCACCUCAAAAAAAAAAAAAAAAAAAAAGAAAACCUCUUUCAUCAGUACUUUGCUAGUGCAGAAGUAACAGGUGACACAGAGCCUACCUUUUAAAGCAGCAUGAGGAAAAUAUUAGCCAAAGCAACAGUGCCAGGCCCUGUGCUUACUGCAACCUCAGAGUAUCCCUAUCAGAGGGUACUACUGUUAUCCCAUUUUACAGAGGGGGAAAGUGAGGCCCAGGUCUAAGGUCACCUAGUUGUGAACAAGGCACAAAGACUCAACCCACAUCUACAGAACUCCAAAGUCUGUCUUAACCCCUGGACCCCACUACUCCAAGACCUGUAAGUUUCAUUGUUAAUUAUCCUUUAAGUACUUGAUUUGUCAGCUAAAUGAUCAAAUGCCAAAGCAGACACUAAUUUUGCAAUACACACACUCUCUAAUACAGCCCAUCCUGAGGUGUCCCAGCCAAACAUCAACCUUCUGGAACUGAUGUUGAAACAUGGUAUUAGGGGUUCCACUGUAAGCAAGAAAAAUGGGCAGAUGACGAGUAUCUUGGAGAGGGUAGAAGCGGGACAGGAAGCCAUCACUUUCCCUCCUUAACUGCAUGGAUGUGCAGACAUGGUGGGUAACCUGCAGAGGGUGAAGUGUCUUCCAGGAAGCUCAGGGUGCUCCUGGGCCUGCAGGGAGUCACAAUGGCUUCUUGCAACCCCAGCUGGAACCUGUAUCCAUCUGUCCCUAUCUCCUCAGGUCCUGUGCCUCCUGCCUAUGCCUCCCCCACUGCCACCCUGUCCUUCUCUCAAAGUUCAUUUCCAGGUUGUUUGUGGGGAGCCCCCCCUCCACGUGUGCAGCCUAGGUGUUGCCCUCCCUCAGUCAUCCUGUGGCCUCAGCACAGAGCCUGCCCACGGCAGCAACCUGACUGAUGUCUAUCUGCUAAGUCAGUAUCACAGCAAGAGCACUGAACUUGAGUCCACGCUCAGCCCAGCUCAGUCCCAGAGGAGCUGCAGGGCCCUGGCUAAGCUCUGCAACUUUGCUCAGCUUUCUGCCUUUGUAACAUGUAAGACGUUACCCUUGUGCUGCCCGCCUCAGCUAUAAGUUAAGGAGGUAACGCCCUGUAGGUGGGGGCACUACAAAAAUAUCCCUAGAAACACUGAAAUCCCUAGGUAGGCACAAUUCCUAGCAGGGCAUAGGCCCUUAUUAAAUGCUCAUAAAUUGGAUAAAAGCAUCUCGUCUUCACAGCUACAGCAUUAGCUUCUAGGGGCCAAGAAUAUGUUUUUGAGUCCUCCAAGCACCUUGCUCCUGCAACUGGGCUGGUGGACAUUCAGCAGGGCAAGUGAGAGUGGCUGGCUGUACGCAUGAAGCACCUGCUGUCCUUAGACAGAGAGGGCAUACUCACCCCUUCCUCAUCCCUCCCUCCACAGGAAGGUGUGUCCUCAGAGGUGCUUUCUUCAGUAACUGGGGCUAAAACAUAUUCCCUGAUCUAGUCCUUCAGGUAAUCAAAGGCCACCGAAGGCCACACUUGGGGAAGGACUGGGAGUCACACUACACAGCUUGAAAGAGACUUGACCUGGGCCCCUGGCUGAACAAAGUGGCCCAGGCUCGCCUAUGUGUCUCCUUAAUGGAAGGGGGAAAAACAAAACAAGACAAAACAGUAAACUGAGCUGCUGAACCAAAUCGGAACUCUGUUCUCCUGGACUUUUCAAUGUUGUAGGGAUUUUCUGCUUUUUAAAGCAAAUAACAUUUCAAGAGGAGGGGGAGGAAUGACAUUAUUCAGGGACAUAAAAGUGCUGGGAUCCAAAAAGCCAAAACAAAUCUCAACAUGGGAAUGAGACAGCCCAUGUUGUUUCUUGAAACUGAAGCCAACUGCAUGCAUGACUUGUCAAGAGUCCAUUUAUCAAUGAAAAAUAACUGAUGGACGAGCUUCCUAUAGGCACUCCCAUAAUUCUCACGACCGCUCAUGUCCUUUUAACCCACAAACACUAUGAAAGAAGAGCUUGCUAUAGACUGGAAGCUGCUUGACACACUCAAAAGGAAGGAGACGAGGGACAAGAGGCACGGAGAGAGGAGAACUCACACUUACCGAGUGGCCACAGAGCUAGAUGCCGCCUUCUGCUCCAAACCGGGGGAAGGGAAAGAAUGGGAAGAGAACCAGAGGACAAUGAGGGGACCGCAGCGGGCCCCAAAGAUAAUCUACUAUCAUGUUAAGCCACUUAGCCUAAGACAACCAUGACCUGUUCUUCAGUCGGACCUAUUUAUAAGUAUACUGAAUUUACUCAAACCAUGACUAAAAACCAACAGAAGAGGGGUGGAAAAAAAAGAUUUAAAAACAAAAAUGGAAAGACCCAAACAAAAGGCUGUGUGGCCUAGGUGGAUCAAGCAGGACUUAGGGGAUGGGGGCUCUGGGCUUGACAGUGCCACUUACUGGCUCUGCCCAGUUUGCCAAGUUAUUUCCCUCCUCGGAGCCUCAGUUCCCUCAUGAGUCAAAUAGGAUGCUGGGCCAGAUAAGCUCCGUUUCUGACUAGUGAGACUCUAACUGUAGUCACGUAUCAGCUGUGUGGCUUCAGCCAGGUCUUUAUGACUCUCUGGGCCUCAGUUUCCUCACGUGUCACAGGCAAAUGGCAACUCUGGAGAGAGCAUGAAAAUCAAUAGAUUUGAAGGUACUGAAUGAACUAUAAGAAAGGACAGUAAGCUGAUGAUGCCUGUCCUGGAACAACUGCUAUGCUGGCCUUUCCAGUCCUACUCAGACCUGACCUGCAGUUCAAGGUCCCAGGAAACUGGACAAAGGCAAAGGCCAAAUCCUUACUUGCUGCCAUCAAAGUGCCCUGGCUAUGACCUCCCAUAAAGCAGAGUCGGAGCAGGCCACAGGGACUCUUCCAAUGGGUGGGACCGAGGUAGCGGGGAGGUGGUGUUGCAGAACCUGCCCCUCUCUUACAUAUCCAUGGGGUGAGGAUGGGGAUGUAUGCGUGAUUGCAUUUUCCAAGCUCAAUCCUUAUGCAUACAGGGGCAUCUUGGUGUCUUUCAGUGACGCUAACAACAACCUGAUUUAGAGGAGUUUCUUGGAGAGCCAGGAAGUUAGCCAGUGACCAGUUUUGACAUCUUCAUCUUCUAGGACAACUCUCAGGACAAGAAUCUCCUUUUCCUUUACAAAAUGUUUAUGAGCUCUCGGACUCUCCCUCUCCUGCAGGACAAUCCACCCCCAGCCCAGGCUACAGACACAGCUUUCCUACCGGUGCAGCUCCAGUCACUCAGCAGGCAGGGAGAAGCAUUCCUGUUGGUGUCUACAGCUCUCACAGAACCCCCAAAGACACUGCACAGAGGGAAGGUAAUCUCUCAGCAGCUGGGCCUUGGAACACAGCUGCGAGGGCAGUGAUCUCUUUAUCUAGGAGGCCUGCAGGCUGGUAGCCCCAACACACCGGUCUAAGACUAUAUCACACUGGGACAUGACAGGUGAUGCAAGAAGGUCCCAACAAGCUCUGUAAGAACUGCUAUAGGCACGAGAGGCACCAGGUUGCCCAUGUGCCACCCACUCAUCAGAGGUCACAUCCUAACCUCAGCUCACACUUCAGGACUUCCCCCUUCCUGAUCUGACUGAGUCAUAUCUACCAACCUACAGGGUCUGUUGUAGAAAUUAAUCAGACAGGCUCAUCAAUCACAUGGUAAGCCUUCCGCCUUCUCCCUUCUACCCCCACAUCGCGCUGCAAGCUCCACCACACAUUCGAGAAUGCCAUCAUCUGCCAAAACAAAACUGGAGGGACUCUAAGCUGCCAGGCGGGUCUGUCACAUGACAAGUAUACCCGAGCUCUGUGGCACCUCUCAGGUCAAACAGCCAAAGCUAUCUACCUGACUCCUACUGCAGGGGAGGGUUCUGGAGGGCAGGAUAAAUUCUAGUAAGACUACUCCCACCACCAGCCACAGCACAAUGGCGGGGGAGCCGCUGCAUGUGUAACAACAGCCAUCUGUCUAUUCACAGAUCAAAAUAGCACCAGAUUCUUGCCUCUUAAGGCAGAGAAAGAGAUUUCUGCAAAGAAGGGCUUCACCGCCAGGCGCAGUGGCUCACGCCUAUAAUCCCUGCACUUGGGCAGGCUGACGCAGGUGAAAUGCUUGAGCCCAAGAGUUCAAGACCAGCUGGGCAACAUGGAGAAAUCCCCAUCUCUAUAAAAAAUUUAAAAAAUAGCCAGGUAUGGUGGCAUACACCUGUGGUCCCAGCUACACAGGAGGCUGAGUAGGGAGCCAGGAAGGUCAAGGCUGCAGUGAGCUAUGAUAGCAACACUUCACUACAGCUUAAGUGACAGAGAAAGAUCCUGUCUCACAAAAAAAAUAAAAAAAAAGAAGAAGAAGAAAGAAGGAAGAAGACGAAGAAAGGCUUCAUGAAGUCCUAAUUCAAAGCUAAGUCCAGGCAUUUGGCUUUAAAUUACUUAGAACUGGCCACGGAAUUAAUCUAAGAAGUUUGGAGGAACAGCUGCUCAACGGGUCUUGAGCUCCUUCUUUAUUUUUUGGCAUGCCAUGGGGGUGGGGGAACAGGAGAAGAAAGGGGCACCUCAUUUGCAAACACUUGCCCCACUUCCUUCUAAGCACUCUGGAUAUGACAAUCAGGCCUCCUGACUUAGGGCAAAGACCUGGGUGGAGGGGUGUUAAAGAGGAAAUGACACAGCCAACCAGAGUCACCCGGCUUUAAAGCAAACACCUUGGGAUGCCAAGGUGAACUCUUCUCGGCUUUUCGUUACAGAUCUAAGCGAGAGUCAAAAGACUCUGGAAGAGUUAACCCAACUUCCAAAAAUGAGUAAUCAUCUUCCUCGUUAGAAAUGGCCCAGGCUCCAGAAACAAAGAUUCAUUCUAUUGUUUGUCCGCAGCACACCCCAAAAUGCUUGAAAGACUGCCAAGUACACCAGCUGCGGCUAUAGCUGUCACUGUCCCCCUAGUGGAGCCAUCUGAACCAGGCUUGGUUGUACUUCCCUUGCUCUCAGGAAGCUCAUUCACUAAGUCAGCAGCAAAACUCUAAAGCCAGGCCUCUGAGCACUCCUCCAUGCACCUCCCAAACCAAAUGUGGACUGGCCUUCACCUCGCUGUGGAAAGGGGUUCUUCCCCAGUGUCAUCUGGAUGGAGUUCAAAAAUGUGCAGGAGAAGGAAAAGUUACACAUCAAAAAACCAACACGGCCGGGCACAGUGGCUCACGCCUGUAAUCCCAGCACUUUGGGAGGCCAAGGCAGGCAGAUCACCUGAGGUAAGGAGUUCGAGACCAGCCUGGCCAAUAUGGUGAAACCCUGUCUCUACUAAAAAUACAAAAAUUAGCAGGGUGUGGUGGCGGGCGCCUGUAAUCCCAGCUACUUGGGAGGCUGAGGCAGGAGAAUUGCUUGAACCUGGGAGGUGGAGGUUGCAGUGAGCCGAGAUCGCGCCAUUGCACUCCAGCCUGGGUGACAAAAGAGAGACUUCAUCUAAAAAAAAAAAAAAAAACAAACAAACCACCAACACUGGCCACCUCGAUCAGGAGCAGACCCAAGGGAGGUGGCAUAGAUAUGUUCUCAGACUUAAAAAUAAUAAUAAUACCAGCCUAGGCAAUAUAGUGAGACCUCGUCUUGACAAAAAAUAAAUUAGCCAGGCAUGGUGGCAUGUGCCUGCAGCCCCAGAUACUCAGGAGGCGGAAGCAAGAGAAUCACUUAGGCAAGCCAAGGCUGCAGUCAGCCAUGAUCACACCACUGCCUCCAGCCUGGGCAAUAAAGUGAGGUCCUAGCUUCGAAAAUAAUUUUUUUUUAAGUCAUAAAAUGUAAAAACAAAAAAAGAAACCCUAUCCGACUGAAUAACUGGAUGGGAUCAGAAUUGAUGAAAUUUAACAAGUACUGGUCAGAGGUUGACAUUGAAGCACCAAAACCCAGUUUCCAGUGUGCUGGAUGAACAGUUAACAGCAUGCCACCAGUCCUGACAAAAGCCUGCGUGGCAGGCAACUGUACUCAUUCAUUCAACAAACCCUUACUGAGUGACUACUUUGUGACUGCUGGGAUGAUGGUAGGGGCUGAAGACAUGAACAUACAUAAGCCACAGUCCCCUCCCAUGGAAGUGAAAACUAUUAACAACUGAUGGAUGAGUGAAAUAAAAACUAAAUUAAAAUGCACUAAAAGGCAGAGGGUAUUAUUAAAAUAUCUUGAUAAAAAUAGCAUGAUAAAAUAACUGGGACCGCUAAAGUUCAGAAAUCUGGGCCGGGUGCGGUGGCUCACACCUGUCAUCCCAGCACUUUGGGAGGCCAAGACGGGCGGAUGGCUUGAGCUCAGGAGUUCAAAACCAGCCUGGGAAACAUGGCAAAAUCCCAUCUCUACCAAAAAUACAAAAAAAUUAGCUGGGCAUGGUGGUGCAUGCCUGUGGACCCAGCUACUCGGGAGGUUGGGGUGGGAAGAUCGCUUGAGUCCGAGAAGCGGAGGUUGCAGUGAGUCUGGAUCAUGCCGCUGCAGUCCAGCCUGGGGGACAGAGUAAGAAUCCAUCUCAAAAAAUAAAGUUCAGAAAUCUGCAUCACAACCUUCAUGGGAUGGGUGCAAAGUCACCCUGCAGUCUCUCCCUCCCACAUCCUGGCAGGUCCCCUGCCUGGACAGACUCUUACUCGCUUCAAUUAUUAAUAAAUCAACAAACUACUGACUAGAACUGUGAUGUUCACGAGGCCCAAGUCUAGCAAGUGCCGGAGGUGGCAUCCACAUCCACAAGGCCCCAGCAAACAAGGCUGGCAGAGCCGCACUGCAGGCUUCAGUUCUAGCUGACCUUGUCCUGCAGGGUAUGGCCUGAAGGUCACAGUCUGUAAGGGAGUCUCCCCAAGCGACGCCAACCACACCCCUGGGCGAACCUUGCUUCCAGAGACCACACUGGGCCAGGUCUCCUUUUGCAGAGCUUACUUAUGGGAGACAGUAAAGGAGUAAGACAGCUUCCUCAAGACUCAGCAGAAUCCAACUUAAAGUCACUUGCCUUUCACAAGGGGGAACAAGUCAACCUCUAGAGAGAUGAGCGUAAAACAUAACCUGCCUGUGUCCUCGUGCGGUUCUAUCCUCCUUACUCACUCUCCCUGUGAACACGUGUGUGAGUGCCAAAUCAGCCUGCCCUGCAGACUGUCCUACUCAUGAGCAAAAUAGUACAUAUCGUAUCGUUAGGCACAGCCAAGAUGGGAAGUGGCCUAACCGCCUAACAGGAAGGACAGGAUAAAUACACACUGCAACACCAUGCAAAGGACGAAACGCAGCUUUCUAAGAGGCUACGAGAAUAUGUGGAAGCUUAAAAAAUUUUGAUCUCAUAGAAGUAAAAAGCAGAACAGAGGAGACUAGAGGCUGGGAAGGGUAGGGGGAAGGCGGGGAACAGGAAGAGAUUUGUUAAAGGAUACAAAAUUACAGCCAGAUAGAAGGAGUACGUUCUAGUGUUCUAUAGCACUGUAGGAUGACUAGAGUUAACAAUAUUAUGUAGUUUCAAAUAGUUAGAAGAAAGAUAUUGAACACUCCUGACACAAAGAAAUGAUAAACGUUUGAGAUGUUGGAAAUGCUAAUCACCCUGAGCCGAUCAUCAUACAUUAUAUGUGUUGCAACAUCACUAUGUACCCCAUAAAUAAGUACAAUUAUGUGUCAAUUUAAAUUUUAAUUUUAAAAAUUAAAAAAAAGAAGGCUUUGGGAGCCCAACACAUCCAAAGAGGAAACCAUCUUCAGGUAUAGUGCUAAGUAGAAAAGCAAAGAUCAGAACAGUGGGUAUAUUAAGCUCCCAUUUGGGUGAAACUAAAUAAAUAAUUGUGCCAAUAAUACAGAAGUCCUGGAAGGAUACAAAGGAAACUUAACAUAAAACCUGUCUUCAGGGAGCGGAAAUGGGUAGCCGGGAACAGAGAUGAGAGAAGACUCUUCAAGAAAUGGCUUUUUGUAUGUUUUCAAUUUUGAACCAAACGAGAUAUUGACUUUCACAAGAAAUAGGUAAUACUUUCUAAAAUCAAAAAUAUAAAAAAUACUGUAUUUUUAUACACACAUUUGUGUGUGUAUAUAUCUGCAUAUUCUUGCACAUGCAUAUGGAAUAUCUCUGGGAGGACAAACAAGAAAAUGACAACAGGAGCUCCCCCCAGGAAGGAGGGAGACGUGUAGCUGGGGACAGGGAUGAGGAAACUGCUUUUCACUGCUGAGUUUGUACACAUGCAUGUACUGCCUAUUCUUAAAACAUUCUGGAGUUCUCCAAAUACCACAUGCAGUUUCCUGCCUCCAGACCUCUGCUCAUGCUGGUCUCUCAGGCUAGAACUUGCCACCCACUUCCCCUGCUCCCUGCUGCCCUCUCAGCCUCCAGACUCUCUAACCUCAUCUUUUAGACUCAGCUCAGGUGUCACCACCUCCAGGAAGACCUCCACACUCCACACUGAGUCAGGUCACGCCCUCUGCCUCUGUGCAGAAUGCAGAGCUUGAAUCACAGGGCCAUGAAAUGAACCAGCAAGCUGCCACCCCUACAGACUGUGUGCUUCUGGAGGGCAUGAGCCCAGCCUCAGUCCCCUGAGUCCCCAGAACCUGGCACAAAGAGCUGCUCAGGAAAUGUCUGCUGAAACAAAGAACACAAUCACCACGUUAAGUCAAGUCUCAACAUUCUUGGUGCCAGAGAUACUGAAAUCUGUCUUGCUUGCAGGGGGUUUCCGAUAGCUAUCAAAAUGUUGUUAACACUAAUUCAAAGCACAGCACCUCCUGAUUCACGGAGGGGCUGGGCUCAAAAGUUUUCUGGGUUCCACAGUAGCAGAGCAUAACAGAAAAACACAGUGACCAGCACAAAAACCCCUGUAUCUGAUCAUACUCACACCUCCUCAGGAACCUGAAAACACUCAUCAGAGUUUCUGUGGGCGGGAGGGUGGCCAGCAGCCCUCUCACACCCAAUCAUGGGAAAACUGAGAGCCCAGGGCCCUGCCCUAACAGCUUUGUUUUCUGUGUUCUGCUUUUAGGAGGAAGAGUCUUGCUGCAGUCAGGGCCUGAUGUGAGGCGGGCAGCACUUGCAGGGCCGGCCCUGGGCCAGGCAGAGCCUGGACAGCCCAGGCCUCUGCAGGAACCCCAGUGGGACAGGGAGGGCCAAGGUCCUGGGAGCCUCCACAGAGAGCAAAAUGGGUCAAUGGGAAGAUUAUAUACACAUGUGACGCUGCGCUCCUUAGAACAGACUUUUACUCAGAAACAAAAAGUAUUUCUAGGUGACUGUAGUUGAACCGGCAAAUCUCAUGUACUCCCUGUGUUGUGCUUCUCUCUGGGCAUUAUUUCCUCCCGGUAUCAGUCUCGUCCCAAGUCCAACACGCACUAGGCUGGCUGUGCUAGGGACUGAGGGAAGAAGGCAGGUGAUACAUAACUAAGUUCACGCAAACAGCAAGUGUUCAAUUAGGUUUCCCACAAGGCAUAGUGUGUCAUACGAUAAUAAAUCCACAAGGGCAGAGAAGUGAGCCUGGAAUUCCAAGUAGGGAGGUAAAGAUCUGGGGAGAUUUCCUAGAGGAAGCGGCAUGAGUGUUGGGCAGGAGUUCAAUGCCAGAGAUGGGGUGAGGGUAUUCUAUUAGGAUGCUGCUAAAUGACAUGUCUGACACUCCAGCAAGCUAGGGGGACGGGGCUGGGAGUGGAGGGCCCCUUCCCAGCUUUUGGUGGAAGGAGCCUCAGGAUGCCCAGACAGGUCAGCUGCCACAACAUCGGCCAGUGCCAGCGCCAGCGCCCUCACAAGGCCCAGGCAGGGGGAGCUCUGCGCACCGGACAGCCACAAGCCGCCACCCUGCUCUCUGCCUCCCAUCACUCUGCUUCUCUCCACCUCUCAGAGGUCUGCCCUCCCAGAGCUGUCCUGCCUGAAUAGCAGGCAAACAAGCUGAGCUAUGGGGGCGGGGUAGGGGGGCACAGGCUGGUGGUUUACUCAGCUGAACAAAGCCAGGUGACCCAGGGGAUUCUAAGAGGUCGUCCCAAACCUCCCUCUUUUGUAAAUGGCAGCAUAAAGGUAGGAAGCUGCAAAACGGUUAUUUCCAUCCCCCAAUAUACCAACAGCCCCAGCCGUGACCCAAGCAGCUCGCCCAGAAUGCCCACAGACAAUACAGUAAUUGUGUUCUCCCUUGGGGAAUGGGAGUGGCCACACACAGCCCCAUACGAGAAUGUCACGAUCAUCUCAGACUCCCGAGUUACAAAUAUGUGAUCAAGGCAUGUGCUGGGCACGCGCUUCCCACGUGUUUUCGUGGAUAUGAAAGCACAAGGGCCAAUGUGCCCAGCUGCUGGGGGCUGGGAGCUGCAGAAGGCAGAGUACUGGGACAAGGAGAAAACCACACAGAAACGCUCCAUUCAAAGCCAUGACUGAGUUAGUGUCCCCUUGUUUCUGAGGAGCGAGAGUAGAAGGGGGAACACUCCUUGACAAAACAAAACUGUGAGGAAAACUUCAAGGCCAGGCAAAGCCAAAGCCUGCCCGUCACCUCCCAGUGACUACAUCUGGAGCUAAAGACACAAGACCCAGCAGUGAUUUCAGGUUCACUCUGGACAACUAAAACCCCCAAAUGAGAGGAAACCACCACUAAGCACUUAGAUGUGAGCAUGGCUGACUGUAUGGACUUCAACGCACCAUUUCCUGGCUCUGCACCUGCUUCCCCAGAUGGGUCCCAGGGUCUCUCACCUCCAGCAGCCCCGGCUGGGCUCAGGUGUCAUCAGGGAAGGGAAAGAAAGGGUACAGCAGUUGAUUCUGGACAUGGUUAAGCACUCUAUUUCCCACCACUGCACGGAGACACUGAUUUCAGGGCACCUGAAACAAAGGGCGCCCAGCCUUGGACUGACGGCAGUGAGUGGGAAGCUUCAUGAAGCAUUCCCGAGUACAGGGUAACCUGCUGUGUCCAUGACAGCUCUGUCAGCUCGACCCAAAUGCGGCCUGUCUUUGGUGAGAACGGGUAAAAUCAACCUAUCUGGGAAACCAAAAGCUCAAAACUCAAAAUCGCCAAGGCUGCCUCCGUUAGUAUCUGGGUUCCAGGUGGAGGGUGGAAACCGAGAUGGACAGUGGAUGGUGUGUGUUAGUGAUAGAAUUACCUAAAGGUAGGAAAUAAAUGUGUCUCCAACUAUCACGGUGAGAGUGUGAGGACAGCUUCCAUGAAGAUGGCUGAACGGAAAACAAAACAUCUCCGGGAAUCUAGUCUCAAGUUUCCCAGAAAAUAAGAUGCAGUGGGAAAAUGAAAGGAAAGACGAGCCUCAUAUGCCAGGCAGCCAAGACCCACACAGGCCAACCCACAUCCUUGCUGGGGGGAACACUGGGGUACCUGGCACCUGCUUCAGCAAUGUGCACUGGUUCUCCAAGCGUGGACCCGGAUCAGUAGAGAAUUGCCUGAGAACUCAUUAGGAAGGCAAAGUUUCAGUCCCCGACCCCAGACAAACUGCAUGAGGGUGGGACCCAGCAGCUGUGUCUAGUAAGCCCUCCAGGUUGAGUCCGGUGGUUCCUAAAGUUUGAAAAACACAUUUUUAGUGGAUUUGGUACCUAGAACCCUAGUAACUGGGAGGACAAUUUUGCACAUGAGAAAAUCAGGAUCCAUAAAAGUUGAGUUUCUUGCAAAAGCCAUGAGGUCAGAAUUGGAUGGGUGGCCUACUACCCACCCCCAGCAUGUCCUCUGGCCAGGCCCUGGAAAUCUAAAUCUAGGUCAAGAUGAUCCUUGGCCUUCAGGAGCUCCAACAGUCCCUAGAAUGCACUGAAGGAGAACAGUGGCAUCGUCAGAGCCUUGGCCUAGCAGAAUCAGAGGCUGAACCAACCACCCAGGUGCACAAUGCCCUGACCAGUAGGUGAGAAAGAGGCAGAUGAGGAUGCCAUGUUUCUGCUGCAAAGGAAAGGCAUGGGAAGGGCUUUCAGGCAAUGGAUUGACAAGCUACAUUUCUCAAAUUCAGCAAACCAUUUGGAAUGACACUAAGAAUCCCAAAGGUUGACUAUGCGGUGAAAUACGUGUGAGAAUCAGAAGGAAACAAAAAGUCACAGAACAGCUGCCAUACGAAGAGAUAAAAACAGGGUUGAGUGAAAAAGAUAAAUGAUAGGAGGGAUUGCUAUUAGAUAUUUGAAGAAAUACGAAGAGAACACCUCAAUUCUUUGAAAAAUACUAAUUACCAUCUGGCAAAUCUUUGCUUUACUUCUACUUGCUGUAUUGAGUCUCUGUCAAAAGAAAGAGCUGAGAUACAUGUUUCAUCUACCCUAAGAAAUUUCCGUCUAACACCAGAAGUUAUCUACUUGGUACACAGCAGCUAGGCUGCCUGUCAUGAGAAUUUAAAAAUUACAUCUUUAUUUGUAAAAAUUCCCUUGCAAUAUCUAUUAAAAUCCAGAAGGCACUUUUUAUUUAUUUAGUUACUUAUUUAUAUUUGGAGACAGGGUCUCACUCUGUCACCCAGGCUGGAGUGCAGUGGCACGAUCUUGGCUCACUGCAACGUCCGCCUCCCAGGCUCAAGCGAUCCUCCCGUCUCAGCCUCCCAGUUGCUGGGACCACAGGUGCAUGCCAUAACACCCGGCUAAUUUUUGUAUUUUUAGUAGAGAUGGGUUUUCUCUACGUUGACUAGGCUGGUCUCAAACUCCUGGGCUCAAGCGAUCUGCCUGCCUCAGCCUCAGGAAGGCACUUGUAGAUAAGAAGAUUACACUAGGUGAAGCACCUGAGUGAUUGUGGGGGGGGGGGGGGUGCGGGGGUACAAAAUGAAUCCCCAGGUCACCCAGUAUCACAGGGCCAUUCACAGGGUAGAAGGGCCCCUGGCCUGAGACUAGCUUCCAAGAUUUAAGGGACAUAUUUGUACUUUCAGAGUUUUUAUUAGUGCCCGGAGUACUGGCUUAUCUUUGCAAGUUUACUAGCAGGUGGAACACGAGGUAGCAGGAUUAUGAUGGCAAUGACCUUGAGCACUGCAAACAUCCUGGGCAUUUCUACUAGUCACUGCCAUUCACCAUCGUUCUCCCUGUGCCAAUAACCUGGAGAGCCAGAAAAUCUGAAUCUGCCUUCCCAAUGUCUUAUCCACUCCAGGGAUCUCAAACUCAAAUGCCUUCCAGGGCCAAGCAGGAAACACAAAUGAGAGAAGCAUGCUGCAUAGGAACCGAGAUGAUGUGCAGAGAACAUGCCUGGCCCACCGUGGACGGCUCUGGCUACAGCUAACUGUGGUGGGCUGUUUGGGAAAGAAGAUCCAGGCUACUAUUAAAAUUUACCUCCUGACUUGUUAAGAGAAACUGAAAGUCAGGACUUCUUUGCACAAUCUCCUUUUUAUGUUCCCAAGAAAUUUAAAAACUUGUAAAGCAUCAUAUGAGACAAACAAAUCAUGUCUGAGGACCACAUCUGGCCCCCAGACCCAGACCACCAGAGUGCAAACUCCAGUCUAAAUGAUGCUGACGAUUCAGACCCCUGAAAACACUCAAACGACUAAGUUUCAUCUUGGUUUGAAGAUCUCCAUGGACUCGCUUGGCUUCGCGAUCCAGUCACACAUUCUCAUCGGCACCACUCCCUGGCUCACUCGGUGAGUUAGCUGGAGGCCUGAAAAUGCCUAGACAGCUCAGACUGUGUGAAAUUCCAUGCACAACAAAGCAGACCCAUACAACUCCCAAUCACAGACAGGAGAGGCCUGCCUUCCCACCCAUGGACUUGGAGAGACAGUUGAUCUGGUUCGUUCACUCAGCCUGGCCCCAUGGGAGGCUGUGGCACCCAUUCUAUGGAGGAAACCGUGGCAUUAUCUGAAGUACAGCAGAGCCUGGGGUCUGCCCUGCCCCCACCAGGAGAGCUCCCUUCUGGCCUCGCCCACGAGGUGGGGUAGGGAAAGAGUUUCCAUGCCAAAUACUUCUAACACACGCAAGUAAACCCAGCAGAUGGAAGAGACAAUUCUGGAUCCCUGACGCCUCCAGACUGCUGGCUUUGGUUGGGUCAUCAUGAAGAGAACAGCUGCUUCCUCAAUCACGACUACCGCACAGAACAGAGGAUUCUGUUUUGAUGACUUCUAUGCAAGAUAUAGAAACAAGAGGGGAGUUUCCUGCCUUUUAUUUCAAAAUAGCCCAGGACAAACGAAGACUUCUUGUACCAUAACAACACAUUCAAAGGGAAAGCUUGAUGGAGUUGGUUUUCUUAAAUGUCACCCCACAGUGAGCAACCUACUUCUCUGCCCACAGGCAGUGAUAAAAAUGUCAUCAGGGAACCCAUGCAGAGGAGCAAGAGAUUUCUCUUUGAAACAGCAACAUGUGCACAAUUGGGGACAAAACUAGGUGGUGAGGAGAAACUGGCUUUGGAGCAGAGGGACCUGGAUUUUCAAGCCAGGCUCUAGCCCAUCACAAGCCACACUCUCUCAGGGACAUGGCUGAAGCUCAGCUCCUGCCCAGCGGGGCUAGUCACCCCCAGCUGGCUGUGCAAUGAGCAGACGAUGAGAGAACAUAUGCAGAGUGCUUGGCACACAGUAGGUGCUCAGAAAACGCCAGCACUCUAAAAACAGAUAAUUUCCAUUAUAAAGGUAUUUGUGCCCGGGUUCUUUUGGGCACAUGCAAUUAGUCUCCCUGAGGGCUGGGACAGCAGUGAGAAACUUAGGGCAGAGCCUAAUCUCGAAUGAUCUCACCCCUCCACUGGCUGAAGAAGGAAGACACAGGACACCAUUCCAGGAGUGGCUGGCUAGAGGCAAGCACAGUGUCAAAGGUGGCAGUGGGAUGGGAGGGGGACACGUAAUCAAGGCUGGCCUUUCAAGGCUAUUCUUUUCCCUUUUAAAGCAUGUGGGGAAAAAAUUUUCCACGUACGACCUCUUAAACACAACUUCCUCCUUACCAGGCACUUCCUUCAUGCAACUAUUCUAGAGCUAAGUUCAUCAGGCUUACUUAUCUGGUUUUCUUCUUUUUUCACUCUUGCCCAAGGUCCUGAAAAGUCCUCCUGGUAUGUCAUUCUUGCAUUUUAUAAAGGUUUCCAUCCUGAUUACAGAGGGAGUGGGCAUUGUUUAAGGUGUGAAGAUUUGUGCAGACUGUAACCAUGUAAACCAAACAUGGAAAAGCCAGCCAUUCCUAACAGGAGCAAUGGACUGGACUCCUGACUGUACAAUGCAUUUCAGAGACUCCAAUGUAGACAGCGUGGACUACAACCAGCCACACAGCUCUUCUCCACACUCAGAGUCUAUCAGCAUGCACAAAUGUGGGGGAGAUGGGUCCAGCACUGAUGCAUUUAUGCCUGGGUCUGAUGAACUGGAGAUCUACGCCCUCCAUAUUUGCCUUCACCCCUCAGAAUGACUCUGCCCCUAGUUAGCUUCCAAAGAGAUUCCUAUUCAGAGCAUUUAUGGACCAAGCAAGACAAGAGCUACAGUUCAGCCCAAUUCCAAGCUACUCAACACACGGCAUCAGUGUUGGCAGUGGACAGCAUUUUAAGGAGUAAGUCACGUGAUACUAGCUAGCUGAGGUACCUGGAACUCACCUUCCUUCCUCAUGCCACACAGUAGCCAUCAUUUUGAAUGAAUGAAGUAGUUCUUUAUCUGAUGCCCAUGGAAAACAUGGUCAUUUCAUCAGACCAUGUAUUUCCCAUUCCAGCAUGGUAGGAACAAUGGUAUAACCCAUCAGGCCCAAAUGGCCCAGAACAGAACAGGUAUGAAUACAUAAAAAUGGGAUUUCUGCAGGACCCAGCAUGCAAACACACAUGGGGCACUGGACAUGGCAGAGUUGAUGAGGCCAACGGCCCCAGUGAACCAGGAGCUGAGGUUACAGGCUGCAGAGGGGCAUGGUGGGGGCCUGCCAAUGGUCAUAGGAUUUAGGGACAGCCUCUUCACUCCAGGCCCAGGUUCCCUCUGCCACAGCAGACAUUUCUCCAUCACUUCAGAGUCAACAAACUAAUUUUCAAUUCUGUGUUUUGGGAGCAGGAAGGUCCAGUGUCUUUUCUUUCAGCAGAAUACCUCCUCUGCACUUUUGGUUCUCCCAGAUUUGGAUUCUCCCCACACUGGGACACAGUCUCGUGUGCUCCUACCUGAUGGAACACUCUGCAAUGACAGCAACGUUCUGGGUCUGUGCUGUCCAACGUGAGAGGUGACCACCGCAUGCAGCUAUUAAGCAUGUGACACGUGGCUAGUGCAACCAAAGAACUGAAGUCUUCGUUUCAUUUAGAUUUAAUUUAAAUUGCCACAUGAGGCUACAGCUAACAUACUGAACAGCCCAGGUCCGGAGUGCAGAGUAUUCAUGUGGAGAAGAGGUCAGCACAUUUUUUUUUCUGUAAAGGGCCAGGCAAUAAAUAUUUUAGGCUUUGUAGACCCUGUGGUCUAUAAAUUCUGCUGCUGUGGUGUGAAGGUAGCCACAGACAUUACCUACACAAACGGAUGUGGCUGUGUCCCAAUAAAACUUUAUUUACAAAUGUAGGCAGUGGGCCAGAUUUAGUCACCAGGCUAUAGUUUGCCAAUCCUAAAGUUGGGAGUUCAAACGCCAGAACUACUGCCCAUGAGCUAAAUGACCUUGGGCACUUUACCUCACAGAACCCUAUAUUCUUCAUCUAUAAAAAGGGAAUAAUAACAGCACUCACUUCUCAGGGUGGUUAUAUGAAUUAACGGCGAAGCCUAACGCACAGUGGCAUUCAAAAAGUACUUGUUGGGUGAAUGAAAACGGGAAAGAACUGGGUGCUUGGACUCGCACUAUCCUGUUUAUUCCUCCUGCUCUGUUAAGUAGGCACUAUUAUUCCCAGUCCACAGAUGAGAAAAUCACAGCUCAGAGAAGUGAAGUGGCUGAACCGAAGUCAAAAGCCAUCAAGUGGCAGCACUAGAACCCAGGGAUCCUUUUCACUGGUUCUGUGCCCUACUCUUUCUUCUCUCAGGCUUUUCUAACUGACAUCAGCCCUACCCAACAUUCUGCCCAACUGUCUGGGCUCAUCUGUACUGCCUUGUACUAUAAGAGGCUCCAUUUAUAAAGGAAAUUAUUAAGACACACAAAAUCAACCUUUUUUUUUUUUUUAAGGAAUCUAAGACGUUGAGCUCUACUAGUUCCUGUUCCAGACACUGUUCUGGAGCCCAUCCCACCACCUACUGGUGGGGUUCCACUUCACUGGAACACCUCUCACAAGGCGGCUCCCUUCUAGCGUGCGGGAUUCCAGUGAGGUGUGGCAUGCUAGACUGCCACAUGAAGUUUUGGCUGUGGCCCUUCCCCGCAUCACCUCCAAAACUGUAAAAUGCUUCCCCGACCUUGGAGACGGGGACCAGAGAGAUGCUCCCUGCAGUUCUUCCCAGAGGUGUGGGGGCCUUCACAUGGGCUGACGCAGCUCAAACAUGAACUGAACGAUGGCUUGUUUCUUCCUGCAUUUGGCAUGAAGACCCAGCUCCCUCCCAAGUCUUCUCCCUAUCUCCUCCUGCCUAUCUCCUCCUCCAUGUCUGCCAGGAUCAGCCCUGAGCAGAGGAGAGGGCAACCUGGGAUUGCUGUCUUCUCUUCCAGGGCCCUAAGACACCAGUGGCUGUGACCACCAUGCUGGCUCCAGUAGCAAUCAGGGGGUAGGACAAAAAUUGAGCCAAAGCUAAAUCAGAGAUGAGCAGCCAGCCACACAGGGAACAAGUGCCUGGGCUCCAGCUCUCGCCUGUGCCUACACUCAGGGCUAAAAAUUCAGCCCUGUCUCCAACAGCGCCCAAAGCCUGGCCAGGCCAAUGGCUGCCUCCCAUAAGGGAUUCUACCCUGGUUCCCCCAGGUUCCACUAUCCACCCAGAAACCGGGCAGGAUCAGCCACGCUCAGUCGUCGUCUUACAAGUGCAGGGGAAGGGCUUGGCCAGGCAGGAAGCUGGCAGACCCAGGGAGCUCCUCAGGUGAGCAGACGGACACCACCCUGGCCACGCUCCUCCAUGGCAGAGGAGCACGCCACCACGCCAUGUCUCAGAACAAUGACUUCCUGAAAUCAUGUGUAACAUAUAAGGACUCACCUGAACCUCACACAUGCUUUUAAAAAUUGUUUUUUGGCCAGGGGCAGUGGCUCACACCUGUAAUCCCAGCACUUUGGGAGGCCCAGGCGGGGGCAUCACCUGAGGUCCGGAGUUCAAGACCAGUCUGGCCAACAUGGUGAAACCCCGUCUCUACUAAAAAUACAAAAAUUAGCUGGGCAUAGUGGCACACGCCCAUAGUCCCAGCUACUUGGGAGGCUGAGGUUGCACUGAGCAGAGAUCACGCCACUGCUGCACUCCAGCCUGGGUGACAGAGUGAGACUCCAUCACAAAAAAAAAAAAAAAUCUUUUUUUCCCCAAAGCAAGUUAGAACUCAUUUACCUGUGGACUAUCACGUACUCUCCUGAGCCCAAGGUGUCUGAUCUCCUCUCUGCUCCUACUUCUGGUCAUAACGCUCUUUCACUCCAGUUUGCUGCUCAACUUUUGGCCUAUGCGGACGCAGCCAGGCCAGAUCCUCUUUUACUUUCUUUUCUAACAGGUGAAGGCAUGUGCUAACCUCCCCGGGAAUGAGAUGAACAGAGAGGUUUACUGUUAAAAUCAAAACCAUCUGUGGCUAACUUACUCACUUUCUUCUUCCCUUAGGAGUAAAUGCAGAUGAGCAAAACCCUACCAGCCUUGGAAAACACACCCCCCAAAGCUAAGAUGGGCUGCUAACUGCAGUUCCGCCUCCACCUCUGCACAGGUUCAGUAUUUUUCUUAAUUCUCCUCUUCUGGGCCCAGGUCACAUGCCACACAGUCAACGGGGCCUGGAAUCUGGGCUGGCAUCUGAGGGCGGUGGAGGCCUCAGGCGCACUGGCCGCCAAGAGUCAGGUGACUCAGGCCCGCCAUUCUCGAGUGUCUGUGUCAGCAGCUUCCCCCUGCCUUUGAGAACACUAGUGAGAACAGGCUAUGACAGAGCCCAGGGGGCACCGAAGCUCCCUCUUCCAUCGCACCAACACGGUUAGGUGCCUGUUUUUCCCUUUAAAGAAAAAAAAAAGGUAGUUUUACACUGAAUCAGACUGUUUCAACUCACACAACGCCAGAACUUUGACUUCUUUAGUUCCAGCGCAGCACAGACAAGAAGUUCUGGAAGCUCUUGGGAAUCCCAAGGGCGCCUGCUAAAUGCGAGAGUUUUGUCUAAAAAUAAACAAAGACCACAUCACUCUGGCCAAGGCGGCACUUGAUGAAAAUUCUCAGAGGCUAGUCUCAUGCUUCUCCAGGAAGGUCACUCCAAGGUCAAAAGGCUGGGCCCCUGGGCAGUGUCACCCCGAAGGUGGGCUUUCUCCCAGCCCUUCGCCCUUCCCUUUACUGCCAUCCUGACCUAGAUCAGCUCCGCUCCCCUCUGAAAUCUACACUCGUCUCACUCAGGCUCCAGGUCUCCCAGAUUCCCUGACACAGUCCCAUGGUGCUGUGACUGGGGACACCUGCUCUCCUGGUCUCGAAUGUCUCCUCCUCCCCGUUCUUCAUCUGUCUAAACUCCUGCUCAUUCUUCAAGACUCAGGUCAGCUGUCACCCCCUCCAGGAAGCCUUCCCUGCCCUCCUCUCUUCAGCUCAGUUAGAGAGACUUUCUAUGACUUCCAGAGGACGGUGUAACUCACCAGUACCUUGUGUAAACACACUUUCAUUCAUUUAUUACACUGUGUCUAGCACAUAGUAGAACCUCAAUAAAAACCUGCAGUCUGACUGUCCAUAAUACGAGCUAUGAGCUCCCUAAAAUCAGACAUUCGGUAGAUCCAUCUCUGAAUUCCUCAGGGCCUGACGACUUGUCUGACACACAUAGUAGCUGUUACUCCACAUUGAUUGAACUGCACUGAGCCUGGGGGCCACCACCAUGGCAGGUAUGUUUUGUGCUCAUCACAGGAACAGUGACACACCCAAGGAGGACACAGUGGGUGAGGAUGACACGCUCCACCUGGCAGAUGAGUUCUGUCACAUCCAUGAGACCAGAGGCAGCCGAGACACCUCAGAGACCUCCCUUAUGCAGCCCUCGCUCACAAAGCUUCAGGAUCUCAUUGUCCUAGCAGGUCUGCUUCAAGGCCACCCAUGCCCAGCCACCUUGGUGGGUCCUCUGGAAAGGACGCUCUAGGGCCAGCACCAGAGGGGAGGGGCUGUCACAGUCUGGAGUCAGGGCCCCCUCCCAGAACCUAGUGAACAGCAUGAGUCUUCACACUCCAUACAAAGGGGUGUCCCUCAAAGCUACCCAAAGUGCAGCAGGAAAUCUCAUGAGUCAAGACUGUCCAUCCUGUUCACCCCACAGGAUGCCAGCCAGCCCCAGACUCAUGAGGCGCGAUGCUCACCAGACCCAGGGAAUAGGCGUGUCAGGAGUCAGAGGCCUGCACCAACAGAAGCCAAGCGGCACAGCCUGGACCCUUCCCUCUGUCCUCCAAGCCAAGGGCUCCUUUCAAAGCUUCAGCAAGCUUAGAUGAGCUCUUGCUCCUGCAGACUGAGGUCAGGUUCAGGUGGCAAAGGGAUCUAGAAGCAGCCGGAAUCACACCGCAGGCCGAGCUGGGGGCAGGCGCUCCAGCUGCAACCACAUAACCCGCACCCGGAAGACGCUGACUCCAGGUGUCCAAGGCAGCUCCCCCAACGUGAGAGGAAGAACAAAAAACAAAGAUGCCCACUGCAAAGCACCUAAAGAGAAUCCAGAAGGUGGUAAGUGGGCCCCUCACUCUCAGUCUAGGUAGGUAUGCAGCCAUUAAUUCCUUGGUUUCCAAAGAAUUCAUUCACAGAAGUGUCGGUGGCAGCAGAGCCAAGACGGUGAGGCCACAUCAUGACCCAUACAUGCAUUUAACGUUCUAUGCUUAGGAGCAAAAGUAAAUCACUUUUGGUAAAAAAAGAUUUCGUUUCCUAGAGAGAAAACUUAGAUUUCACCAGUCUCAACUCUUGGUAACAGACACACUGCAAACUAAACUGUAAUGCAUACUUUCAACUUUUCCUCCCGAAAAAAACCCUACGCUAUCUGAGAGAGGAAGAUGCUGGAGGAGAAAAGGCUCUAUCCGCCCCAGCCUGACCCGUCCAGCCAAGCCCAACUCCAGUUGAAGUCCCCUCUGCUCUGUCCUGUAUCUUGUCAUCACUGACUGACCUCCUCAGGGCAACCUGCCUGACUCAUGUCCUUCCAGCCUCCCUUCAGUCCUCGCAACAGCACGCGCUUGCCACAGGCUGCGUGAGAUACUCACUAAUGUCUGGUGGGCUCUAAGUGUCCUCAGGUGUGGUCUCACUCAGGGCCCCGAACCUAUGGGCUGGCUGGGGGUGCUGUCAGCACUGCCAUACUCCAGAAGAAGGAAUGGGGGCCAGAGAGACAGUCGCCUGCUCAAAGGCACAUGGCAUGGCGGGCAAAGGGCAGACCUAGGAUUUGAACCCAGGCUUCUGAUUCCAAAGCUGAAUGCUACUUUUGCCCUCGAUGAUACAGAAUUGGGUUUCACCUAGACUCUGCCCAAAGUUCCUCUGUGACGCCAAACAGUCCCAUUCUUCCUGCAGCCACAAGAAGCACCUAGGUGGCAUGCAGCCGACCAUGGGCUUUGCAGCAGAACCCCUGCCUGCCCAGUCACACUCAUCUCCUACCUGGCACUGCUCUGCAAGGCACUACGCCCAUUGCAAGGGGCUUCUCAAACAAGCUCUAAACUGAUCUUCCUAAAAACGCUGGGUGGCAGGACCAGCAAGGUGAGAAAUCAGAGGCCCAGUGAGGGUUACAGGGCAAAUUAGGUCCAGCAAGUAGGCAGUCUGUGCCCACUACCUUCCAGCCAGGAAACUGAAUCGUUUGACUGCCAAAGGGAUUACAGGGGAGAGCGGUUCCUACGGCCCGGUCCCCAGGAUCAUGCCACAGAGGGGCUUCCCCGCAUCCUGCACUCCUUCUGGAGACUCAAAACCACAGACCUCUUUUCCCCCGGGCUCAGGAGCCAGGCUCCUUCUCCUCACCCAGAUCAUGGAGACACCCAGCUGCAGAGAACUUAGUCUUUCCACUUCCAAACAUGCAGAGAAGCUGCUCCCAGCCAGCGGACAGAACCUCCCUCUGCUCCCAGGCCCAUGGCCAAGGCCAAUGCCAGAGCAAGGGGAAUUCCAGGCAGGGCCGAGGCCUCUCCCAGCUGGGCUUUGUCUGUCAGGGUGCUUCAGGCUUCAGCCAGAGGGCAGCCUGGGAGGGAGGGUGGCCUCCACGGGGUGGGGGCAGGCAGCAGCAACUGGAACCUGCAUAAGCCGCCUCUCCUGCACAAGGCACAGUCCAGCUGCCAGGACACACAGCGGCCCCAGACAGGACCUGUACAAACCCAGCUAUCCAGGAGCUCGAGGGCCCACCCACGCCCCCUCCUAGAAGCUGCAGCAUGGCACCCAGGCAGGAGUUGCCAGGGAACGCCCACUGGGCAAUGCACGUGUCUUACAGCAGGAACUCUCCUCCCCUGGUGAGCACUGGAUGGAAAAGCAGCAGGGUGUGGUAGAAAGAAUACAGGGCUGAGGUCAGCUGGGCCAAGUUCAAAUCCCAACCUGGGGUGAGUGAUUUCUGCAGGCAGCAUGUCUUCAGCAAUGAAAUCGGGCUAGUCCCUGAGCCACAGGUUGUGCUGAGGAUUAAAUGAACUAAUGAAGCAAAGUGCCCGGCUCCACACUGGACACCCAGCAGAUGUCCAAUCAAUGUCUGCUAAAUGAAUGUGGAAAUUGCAGCCCUGAGAAAAAUAGCAAUUCUCCUCUUCUCCCUUCACUCGGCCCAAACCCAACUCCCCACAGGGGGAAGAGCCCUUAUUCACUACUCACCACCACCACAACACAGCCGGGCAGACUGACACACUUUUGGCAAAGAGGCCAAAACCUUUUUCAGCAAGCUCACCUUUACAAGGUUUCAGCACCUUCCAUUGGGACUGGGGGGUGGGGACGGGGGAUGGGUAGCAUGUUUCACUUGGCUAAUGAACUCUGUGAGCAAUGAUCAAGUUCACCUGCUGGUCUACGCUAAAGCAGGCUGUCUUGCAAGCAGGAAUUAAGGUUCCACGUCAUGAGAACACAGCAGUAGGGCAGGGACUCAGGAGACAGAGUCUGCACCUUUGACAACUGGCUACGGGACCCUGGGAGAGUCACCUCACCUCUUAAGGAUCGGACUUCUCUUCCAGAAGGUUACAUCAGCAGGCCCAAGAAGCUCUCACUCUCCAAGCCCCCUGGCCAUUCUAAACACAAUUCUAUGAAAUGUAAUCCUGAGUAUGUUCACAGGAAGACAGGCUCUGAGCUGACAGAGUGACAUUCACUGCAAACCUGGGUGAAAAAGACUCACCACUCACUGGGAGUUGCCAGGAUAUGCCCUGGAACCUAACUGCAUCUUUCCUCCCCUGAGCCCCAGGGGCACACGGUAUGCCAAAUCCCCAGAAAGAACAAGACCACUAGGACUGUGGGGAGGCAGGGCCUGCAUGAGAACUGCCCUGAAACCACAGCCUGAGUAAAAUCUGCCCCCUUCAAUCUGGAAAGAAGGUGGUUCAAAGGGACUGUGCUGAAUCUUGGCCCAGCAGAAACAGAAAUGACCUCGAUGAUGCCCACAGCAGACACUUCCCCUAGGGAUGGGUGCCCUUCAGAUGCCACUUCACCAAGACAGAGCAGCAGCAGCAGCAGCAGCAAAUGCCAAUAGGUUUGCUCCGCUCCCGAAUACGAAAGCCCCCAAUCUCCUGCUAAGGAAUAGGGAAACUAAGGAACCGACCCGUAGGUAUGCAUGGGGUCUAUUACAGCCCUCACUCCUCAGUCUUGGAUGCACAAGAGAAUCGACUCAGGAACUUUAAAGAUACCAAUGCUGGGUUGCUGCCCCCCUCUCCAAGAUUGUGAUGUAAUUGGGCCUGAAUGCAGCCUGGGCAUCUGGAUUUUUUUUUUUUUCCAACCUUCCCAGGUGACUCUAAUGUGCAGCCAAUAUUCAGAACCAUUACUUUACUCUAGCUUCUAGAAGUUCAGAGCACAGGGGCCCCAGCACGCUCCUACAAACUCUUCAGGGGCAGAAAGGACAGCAUGCCUGGCCAGGCAGGCCUUGCUAGAGAUGGGUCUCCUUAUUCUUCCUUCAAAACACACGCACACUCACACCCCCCCGAGAAGCAACCUGCAAAGAACCAUCUGUCUGAGACAGAAUGCAGGGCCGCUGCCCAGCCCUGGCUGGGGCGUACCAAGUUCAGUCACACUGGAGGAUAUACAAUUGUGUUCAGUUACUUGAUUACUUUAGGCACGUAAACAAAAUAUGAUAUUGUACAGACCUGGAGUGGCAACCACCACAUCAUAAUUUACUUUGAGACAUCUGAAUUACAAAUGCAAAAAGAAAAAAAAGUUGGAAACACUUUUAAGAAUCUCUCUGAAUGGAAAAUGGAAUCUGAAUAAAUGGUGGUGUUUCCAGUGGGCUGCCAGGUUUACUUCCUGUUUCCCCCAGAAGGUCACUGGAAAUGUUUUCUUGUGAAUCUGCCUUUUCUGAGAUUGAAGCAAAACAUCUCAGCCUCCCAAACUAUGGCACUCACUGCCUUUGGUCCUACAGUACAUACAGAUUCCAAUCACUCCAAAAAACAAAAAAAAAAAAACAAAAAACAAAAAAACACACAGCCAUAGCAGAGGGGAGAGGAGGGGAAAAGGCAGUUAAAAGUUCUAGGUUUCUCUGUGGUGUUAACAAGACUAAACAAAAUUUCUGCUUUGAGAUAAAACAGAACCCAGUGCCUCUAUCAUAUGAACACACAGCAGGGCAUAUGGAAAGCAACCAGGCUCUGAAGGAAUAGAGCUCCUUCCUGGCUUUCUGCCUUCCGGCUAUGUGGCCUUGGGCCAGUUACUUGGCCUCUCUGAGCCUCAGCUGUAACUGCAGGUUUGCUUUGAGAAUUAGAGAGUGUAUACAAAGCCCAGGGCCCAGGGUGGGCCUUCAACAACCAGUGGGUGCUGCCAUUAUUCUUUGAACAAUCUGCACCCAUUUCAGCUAAAUCCUUGGGAAUCAUAUUAUACUAGCGCAGGGGAAGAAUCUGUUUCUUUGUUUAACAAGAGAACAAAAAGAGUGAGUGGAGAAGUCAGGAGUUAGCCUGCCACUGCGUUCUGAGGUCAAAUGGGCUGUUUACGAACAUGAUUUGCUUUCACCCUCCUGAGACUGGCACCGUGAAAAAAGUCCUUCCCGAGACUUACAGAUGCCCAAGAGGCAAUGUGGUCUCCAUGAUAGUCCAGCGUGGUCUGGCCAAGCUGUCCCCCAUCCCCCAUGCAAAAGCCAGCUUCCCCGUGCAGCCCCCACAGCAGGAGAGACGGAGAACCAUUAAAGCGGGGGUGCCUGUCACACUCCUCUGUAACCCCUGACGUGAUGUGAAAUUCUACAAGGUAGACCCUUUGAAAUGCAAAAUCUUCCAGAGUCCUUCAAACGUGUUUUUAUUUUCUCGGGUUCCUAAGGCUGCUUUCAGAUCCACCCAUCAGCAUUUCCCCCUCUCAAUCAACCCACAUUUAACAAAAAAACAAACAAACAAAAAAAACGACAAGAAAAACCCAAGGACGUCUCUAUUUUUCAGAAAAGCUCAAGUAUCUCCAAUCACUGUGAGGGGAAAGAAAAUAAAAUCUUCAGCUCCAGCCUCCUCGCAUCACUCCAAGACACCCAGAAGCCAAGUUUCCUCUGGAAGAUUUCCUCCCAUCCUAGCCAGCACAGCACUCUGUUGCUCAGGAUCUCAGAGAACUUUCUUAGAUAAGAAUCCGAGUUCUCCCUGACCUAAGUUCGGUGAGGUUAAGACAGGCACCACCAAAACCACAACCCGCAAUACACGAAGCCCAAAUCUUGCCCCAAAACGCUGUGCACAGGAGGUUUGGAUUAAGCAUCAAAGAAGUUACCUUAAAACAAAGUUGUUUGGCAAAGAAAAAUACUUCACUGUAAGAAGAACCCUAGGGAACGGUAAAUUGCUUUUGAAUAUGGACUUUUCAGUGGCGCAGUCAUUAAUCAUGUUAAUGUAAACUGCGCUACAACAAAAAUUUUCUAAGCAAGUCUCAGGGUACAUCAGCAUAUCUAAGCCUCUGGGUUUGUUUCCAAAGUUCACAUCCAGGCAGGCAAUGAAACUGCUGUUAAUGGGGUCAGCUAUUACAGUGCCGUCCCCAACCUUGAGCCAUAAUAAAGGUGACUCAGCCAUCCAGAAAAAACCCUCAAACUUAGGCAGGAAACAAACAAAUUAAUCAGAGAAAGAGAGUCAAUGAUUUUUGGAAAGUGUAUCCGUUGGACAAGUUUAAACAGAAACUCUCCCUGGAUGAUCAGACUGACAUUUCAGAAAGGAGUUGAGGGAGAACAAUCAACACUCCUCCCAGCACCCAAGUCCCCUGGCCAGACCCUGUUUUGUGGCGUGGAGGGGAGGGUAGCAGCCGGACGAGGCAAGGAGGAGGAGAGUCCAGCAGAGCUAAGCUUCGCUGAGCCCCGCCAGCUCCGGCCAUGUGCUUUGUGUUGGCAACGAACCGGUUCUUUCAAAAGAGGAAGAGUCUGACAAAAAGGACAGCUGCAGCAAAGCAGAAGCUGAGGGUAAAAACCUCUCCAAAGCCCUGAGCUCGGGAUUCUCCCCUAAAGUUAAAUCAAAACACCACUGGGGUUUGCAAGGACUAGUUCAUCUAUUAGUCUUCCCCUUGCUGGAUCAAUUAAAGAGAGUCCCUCCACAUCUGGUUUCCAUCGAAAACCGAAACUUGUAUUAUCAGCAUAUUACAUAACAAAUUAUGCCUGCAGGUUUCUUUUAUUACACAUCAGAGAGGUGUGCGUGGUGGUGGUAAUGAUGGGGGUUGUGCCGAUCUGAGUAUUUGCUUAUUUCAGUCUUUUUAUUUAAGGACAAGAACAGAAGAGUUUUCCAUACAAUGCGCAAUUUAACUGCAGAAAGUCACGCUGCCCAAAUAAAACAUCAACUGAACAAUCUGAAGGUGGGCCCAGAACUCAGUCUUCAGGGCCCAAGGCAUCGAGCGGUGGGUGAGAAGAGUGUGCUUUUUAAAAGAGCUCCGCAGCGUCCCCUGCUGCCAGCUCCUAAUAUUUAAACACAGCUCUCUCCUCUCUGGCCUCCAAAAGGGGAGGAGAGCAGGCUGGCCCUUCCUGAGCUUCAAUCAAGGGUCAGGCGCCUGCUCACUGGACCCGCUUAAAGGAACCCAAGCCCACUAGGCUUCUGUAGAGAGGAUGGAGAGGCUAGCGGGGCAGUGAGAGAAUAUAUAAGGGGAAAGAGAAAGACUAAAAGAUGGAAACAGAAAGAGCCCAGGAAAUAAUACCAGGACUUCCCAUAAAAUGUCAAUUAAGCGUAACCACCACGGUGACAAUAAGGUAUCAUAAAGCUCUUUCCAAAAGAACUUUGCGUACUUUCAAAAUGCUAUGUGCAACAUACCCCACGUUGAAAAGAGAAGAGGGAAACUGAUUUAAAACAUUAUGAACCAAGACAGUGGAAUGCUCUCUACUUUGUCCUGAGAAGACUGGAACAUUCAAGUCCACUUCUGCAGCAGUGAGGUUGCUAGUUUCUAUUUAAAAACUUGUCUUUGAUAUCAAAAUGACUGCACAUGAAUCUCACCUUCUCAGAAGAAAAUAGGAAGUCGUUGGGCAACAUUAUUUGAAUUUAAAUCGCCUCGUUCUCUGAAGGAACGUUUGGAAGAAAAAAAUACAGGCCUUCCCCACGCCUCUCCUUAGCUUUUUAACCUGAAAAAGCGCCUGGAAGCUGGAUCGGCAGACUCCCAGGUCGCAUGAUGGGUGACAGCCAAGUGCAGACACAGAGUCAAGGGCUACCAAUCCUGAGCCAAACCUUCUCCCACUGAAUGGGACUAUCAACUGGGACAAGUAGCUGUUUCUGUAGUCCACAGCUAGAGGCGGGGGAGGGGACCCUGUAGACCUGCAAUUCAAUAUCAAAACUGUAACUGACACAAGUUACUCUUAAAUAGAUAAAUUAAAAUGAAACAAAAACCUGGCCUAAUAAGGAACAGUGAGUUUCACCUGGUCGGCUGACUCCAUUCCUUCCCAAGUCCUCAAACCAGGUGGCAUCUUUUAAACGAGUCCAGGAUCUGGAGCAAG
rnacentral:lncRNA from 1 species